UUAAGCGACUAAGCGUACACGGUGGAUGCCCUGGCAGUCAGAGGCGAUGAAGGACGUGCUAAUCUGCGAAAAGCGUCGGUAAGGUGAUAUGAACCGUUAUAACCGGCGAUGUCCGAAUGGGGAAACCCAGUGCAAUUCGUUGCACUAUCGUUAACUGAAUACAUAGGUUAACGAGGCGAACCGGGGGAACUGAAACAUCUAAGUACCCCGAGGAAAAGAAAUCAACCGAGAUUCCCCCAGUAGCGGCGAGCGAACGGGGAGCAGCCCAGAGUCUGAAUCAGCUUGUGUGUUAGUGGAACGGUCUGGAAAGUCCGACGGUACAGGGUGAUAGUCCCGUACACCAAAAUGCACAGGCUGUGAACUCGAAGAGUAGGGCGGGACACGUGGUAUCCUGUCUGAAUAUGGGGGGACCAUCCUCCAAGGCUAAAUACUCCUGACUGACCGAUAGUGAACCAGUACCGUGAGGGAAAGGCGAAAAGAACCCCGGCGAGGGGAGUGAAAAAGAACCUGAAACCGUGUACGUACAAGCAGUGGGAGCACCUUCGGGUGUGACUGCGUACCUUUUGUAUAAUGGGUCAGCGACUUAUAUUCUGUAGCAAGGUUAACCGUAUAGGGGAGCCGCAGGGAAACCGAGUCUUAACUGGGCGUUAAGUUGCAGGGUAUAGACCCGAAACCCGGUGAUCUAGCCAUGGGCAGGUUGAAGGUUGGGUAACACUAACUGGAGGACCGAACCGACUAAUGUUGAAAAAUUAGCGGAUGACUUGUGGCUGGGGGUGAAAGGCCAAUCAAACCGGGAGAUAGCUGGUUCUCCCCGAAAGCUAUUUAGGUAGCGCCUCGUGAAUUCAUCUUCGGGGGUAGAGCACUGUUUCGGCUAGGGGGUCAUCCCGACUUACCAACCCGAUGCAAACUACGAAUACCGAAGAAUGUUAUCACGGGAGACACACGGCGGGUGCUAACGUCCGUCGUGAAGAGGGAAACAACCCAGACCGCCAGCUAAGGUCCCAAAGUCAUGGUUAAGUGGGAAACGAUGUGGGAAGGCACAGACAGCCAGGAUGUUGGCUUAGAAGCAGCCAUCAUUUAAAGAAAGCGUAAUAGCUCACUGGUCGAGUCGGCCUGCGCGGAAGAUGUAACGGGGCUAAACCAUGCACCGAAGCUGCGGCAGCGACACUAUGUGUUGUUGGGUAGGGGAGCGUUCUGUAAGCCUGCGAAGGUGNUGCUGGAGGUAUCAGAAGUGCGAAUGCUGACAUAAGUAACGAUAAAGCGGGUGAAAAGCCCGCUCGCCGGAAGACCAAGGGUUCCUGUCCAACGUUAAUCGGGGCAGGGUGAGUCGACCCCUAAGGCGAGGCCGAAAGGCGUAGUCGAUGGGAAACAGGUUAAUAUUCCUGUACUUGGUGUUACUGCGAAGGGGGGACGGAGAAGGCUAUGUUAGCCGGGCGACGGUUGUCCCGGUUUAAGCAUGUAGGCUGGUUGUCCAGGCAAAUCCGGAUAAUCAAGGCUGAGGUGUGAUGACGAGGCACUACGGUGCUGAAGUAACAAAUGCCCUGCUUCCAGGAAAAGCCUCUAAGCAUCAGGUAACAUCAAAUCGUACCCCAAACCGACACAGGUGGUCAGGUAGAGAAUACCAAGGCGCUUGAGAGAACUCGGGUGAAGGAACUAGGCAAAAUGGUGCCGUAACUUCGGGAGAAGGCACGCUGGUGUGUAGGUGAAGUCCCUGCGGAUGGAGCUGAGACCAGUCGAAGAUACCAGCUGGCUGCAACUGUUUAUUAAAAACACAGCACUGUGCAAACACGAAAGUGGACGUAUACGGUGUGACGCCUGCCCGGUGCCGGAAGGUUAAUUGAUGGGGUUAUCCGUAAGGAGAAGCUCUUGAUCGAAGCCCCGGUAAACGGCGGCCGUAACUAUAACGGUCCUAAGGUAGCGAAAUUCCUUGUCGGGUAAGUUCCGACCUGCACGAAUGGCGUAAUGAUGGCCAGGCUGUCUCCACCCGAGACUCAGUGAAAUUGAACUCGCUGUGAAGAUGCAGUGUACCCGCGGCAAGACGGAAAGACCCCGUGAACCUUUACUAUAGCUUGACACUGAACAUUGAGCCUUGAUGUGUAGGAUAGGUGGGAGGCUUUGAAGCGUGGACGCCAGUCUGCGUGGAGCCAACCUUGAAAUACCACCCUUUAAUGUUUGAUGUUCUAACGUUGGCCCCUUACCGGGGUUGCGGACAGUGUCUGGUGGGUAGUUUGACUGGGGCGGUCUCCUCCCAAAGCGUAACGGAGGAGCACGAAGGUUAGCUAAUCCUGGUCGGACAUCAGGAGGUUAGUGCAAUGGCAUAAGCUAGCUUGACUGCGAGCGUGACGGCGCGAGCAGGUGCGAAAGCAGGUCAUAGUGAUCCGGUGGUUCUGAAUGGAAGGGCCAUCGCUCAACGGAUAAAAGGUACUCCGGGGAUAACAGGCUGAUACCGCCCAAGAGUUCAUAUCGACGGCGGUGUUUGGCACCUCGAUGUCGGCUCAUCACAUCCUGGGGCUGAAGUAGGUCCCAAGGGUAUGGCUGUUCGCCAUUUAAAGUGGUACGCGAGCUGGGUUUAGAACGUCGUGAGACAGUUCGGUCCCUAUCUGCCGUGGGCGCUGGAGAAUUGAGGGGGGCUGCUCCUAGUACGAGAGGACCGGAGUGGACGCAUCACUGGUGUUCGGGUUGUCAUGCCAAUGGCACUGCCCGGUAGCUAAAUGCGGAAGAGAUAAGUGCUGAAAGCAUCUAAGCACGAAACUUGCCCCGAGAUGAGUUCUCCCUGAGACUUUAAGUCUCCUGAAGGAACGUUGAAGACGACGACGUUGAUAGGCCGGGUGUGUAAGCGCAGCGAUGCGUUGAGCUAACCGGUACUAAUGAACCGUGAGGCUUAACCUU
rnacentral:rRNA from 1 species